UGGAUGUAGCUCAGUGUUACAGUGCUUGCCUUACAUACAUGAGGCCUUGGGUUCAACUCCCAGUACCACAA
rnacentral:tRNA from 1 species